rnacentral:lncRNA from 1 species
AGAAACUUAGUAUUCAUAAGAUAAAGGUGGUUUCAUGCUGGUACCAUUUAACAAUCAUUUUAAGAGUGAUCAUGUUGUGAUGAAAAGCAUAAUUAAUCAUUUGUGAAGGGUCCAUAGACCCGGGGUCCCCAUUGGGCCCACUUUUCCACAAAGCUUGGCCCAACGAGAGGCGUAGCAAUAAUGCACGUCUGGUUCAGCCCAAAUAUGCGAUGCCAGGCCGAGACCAAGAUUCGGC